AUUACAGCGAAGUUUAUCCUGGAGGGCCUUCAACAUUCCCUUAGUGACUGGAGGGACUGGAAGCUGGUCUGCUCUCUGUUUCUAAGCCAGUAACUUCAAGCCCCUCAAGUCAGUUAGGGAUUCUUCGCUGAACGUCCGGGAAGGCCCAUCAUAGACUGGCUCCAUGACAGGCCUCAAGGGAUUUUGAGGCCUACACAGUAGGUCGCCGAUAUUGGUGGUGGAUGGGAGUUUAAUCAUCCGGUGUUUCUUACUUUUACGCCCCAUAUUGUUGGCAAGGUAGAAUGCACACUAUGAGGGCAGGUGCGGUACGUAGAAGAGAAUUUCAGCAAUUUUAUCCCCAGUUAUCACGUAGUGCUCCCGAGACACAUCCGGUCAGUAGCAAAAUUUCAUAUGUUAAUAUGAGGUAGUUGGUCAGAGAAAAGCUCAAUGGUUGUUUCUCAUGUAUCUAGCUUGCCUAUUAUAGACAUUAUUCUCUUUACAUUUUCCCUAUCUGAUUAUUUUUAUUGUCUUUUAGCACUGGAUAAGGGAAUUUUAGAACUUAG